rnacentral:sRNA from 11 species
AUAUCAGUAAUGAAGAGAAUGAUGAUAGAAUUGACA